rnacentral:rRNA from 1 species
AUGGCGGUGGUGUUGCGGUAUGUUGGUAAAUGUGGAAGUGCCAUAGAGACGUUAGUUGGCCUUACUCAUGUGAAGGAGACAACUUCCAAGUAUCUCAAGUGUGCGAUUCAUGAUUUAUUUGCAGAAUAUAAGUUAAGUUUCAAGCAAGUUAGAGGGCAAGGAUAUGACGGUGCGAGCAAUAUGCGAGGUGAGUUUAAUGGCUUGCAAUCCUUAAUCAUGAGAGAGAAUAGCACAACAUAUUACGUUCACUGUUUUGCACAUCAACUUCAGUUAGUUGUUGUGGCUGUUGUUCGGAAGCACAAAUGCAUUGGUAAUUUUUUUGAUAUGAUCUCAGUCUUGUUGAAUGUGGUUUCUGGAUCUUCAAAGAGAAAGGACUUGAUUCAAGACAAAUAUAAAGAACAAGUGUGUGAAGCUUUAGGUUGUGGAGUACUAAAAAGUAGGACAGGAUUAAAUCGAGAACUAGCUCUUCAAUGA